rfam:Gossypium hirsutum cultivar TM-1 chromosome 5, whole genome shotgun sequence
AUGUCACAAUAAGGGAACUUUUGUAGUAAAUCAUUAAACUGCUCCCAUGCCUCAUAUAAAGAUUCUUCAUCAAAUUGCUAAAAUGAAGUGAUUUAUUUCAGAGCUU